rnacentral:RNase_P_RNA from 2 species
CCAGAUGGCCGGACGGCCGCGCGAUCCGCUUGGCGGAUUUCGAGGAAAGUCCGGGCUCCACAAAGAUACGGUGCCGGGUAACGCCCGGCGAAGGUGACUUCAGGGACAGUGCCACAGAAAGUAAACCGCCCGGCCCCCUGCCUUGCAGGACCAUGGUGCCGGGUAAGGGUGAAAGGGUGCGGUAAGAGCGCACCGCCGCGUUGGUAACAGGGCGGGCAUGGUAAACCCCACCGGGAGCAAGAUCGAAUAGGGACGGCAUAUGGCCUUGUCUUUGGGCCGUCGUCCGGGUUGAUCGCUUGAGGCUGUCGGCAACGGCAGCCCUAGAGGAAUGGUCGUCGCCCUGUUUGGUUGCGAUCAAACAGGGGCACAGAACCCGGCUUACAGGCCAUCUGGCGCA